UACGUAGGGGGCAAGCGUUGUCCGGAUUUAUUGGGCGUAAAGAGCGUGUAGGCGGCCAGGUAGGUCCGUUGUGAAAACUCGAGGCUCAACCUCGAGACGUCGAUGGAAACCAUCUGGCUAGAGUCCGGAAGAGGCGAGUGGAAUUCCUGGUGUAGCGGUGAAAUGCGCAGAUAUCGGGAGGAACACCAGUAGCGAAGGCGGCACUCUGGGCCGGUACUGACGCUGAGGAGCGAAAGCGUGGGGAGCGAACAGG
rnacentral:rRNA from 1 species